CUCAUGAGCCAUAGUUGAAUGAGUUGUCAGGGAGGCACACAGAGGAUAUUGGUGCUGCUGUCUAGAUACUUCUUGUCCUCUCCUUUCCUAGGCCUUGGCUAAGGGCACUGGGGCCAGCAGAGGAACAGGUGCUGCUUCUAUGGUUUGCUGUGCGCAGGGCUGUUCUGGACACCUGCUCAGAGAGCACCCAGAGUUCUGGCUUAUCUGCAUCUGCCUCCCUUUCUUUCUGAGGCAGUGAGUGCCCAGGAGGAUUAGCAAGCCGGUGACUGCAGGGAAACUCUCGAGACGUGAGACCGCAGGAACUCGAGUGCAGCAGCCGCAAGAAGCUUCUUCUCAAAACCAUGACUGCGAUUCCAGAGAAGCCAUCGCUUGGGCUGAGCACAGGCUGAGCUCAGAAGUGGUCAGAAGCCAGCACCCACGCCCUGCGGUAACUGUGUGCUGGUGCGUCGUUAGGAGCGGAUGCUCUGGCCACAGGCUGCAGUCUCUCCAGGUGCUCAGGGACUUUUGCUGAAGGUGAAUGGGUCACUCAGGAGGCAUCUCGCGAAUCUGCAUGGAGACCAAGAGGUGGGCGUUUAAGUGAAUCUGGGCCAA
rnacentral:lncRNA from 1 species